rnacentral:lncRNA from 1 species
UCUGUAGAGGCCAGAUAACUUCAUGUGGCUGUGAGCAAUAUGAGAAAUGCCUUCUCCAACUGUCAGAUCAGAAGAGAUCAAGAUUAAAUUUGUUUGGUAACGAUCUCUAAUUUAUUUUGAUUCCUAUGGUAGAUCUAAUAGUUAGAUUUAGAAUUUCAACAUCGAUGAGAUCGAUGUGAUUUUUAUUUUCAGAUCUAAAAUACUUAUU